CCCUCAAGACGGGGAUAACGGAUGGAAACAUGCGCUAAUACCGGAUGACCUUACGAUGUCAGAAUGGUAAGGAAAGCUACGGCGCUUGAGGAGCGGUCUGCGGCCCAUCAGCUAGUUGGUAGGGUAAAGGCCUACCAAGGCGAAGACGGGUAGGGGGUGUGAGAGCACGGCCCCCCACAAUGGGACUGAGACACGGCCCAUACUCCUACGGGAGGCAGCAGCAGGGAAUAUUGCACAAUGGACGGAAGUCUGAUGCAGCGACGCCGCGUGAGUGAAGAAGGCCUUCGGGUUGUAAAACUCUUUUGAGGGGGAAGAGCGAGGACGGUACCCCUGGAAUAAGCGUCGGCUAACUACGUGCCAGCAGCCGCGGUAAGACGUAGGACGCGAGCGUUAUCCGGAUUUACUGGGCGUAAAGCGUCUGUAGGCGGAUGUGUAAGUUGGGCGUGAAAGCUCCGGGCUUAACCCGGAGAGGCCGUUCAAUACUGCAUAACUUGAGGGUGUCAGAGGGGAGCGGAAUUCCCGGUGUAGCGGUAAAAUGCGCAGAGAUCGGGAGGAACACCAGUGGCGGAGGCGGUUCCCUGGGGCACACCUGACGCUGAGAGACGAAAGCUAGGGGAGCGAACAGGAUUAGAGACCCUGGUAGUCCUAGCCCUAAAACGAUGAAUGCUAGGUGUGGGAUCGAAUGGUUCCGUGCCGGAGCGAACGCGAUUAAGCAUUCCGCCUGGGGAUGUACGGCCGCAAGGCAAAUCUCAAACGAAUUGAUUGGGCCCCGCAACAAGCAGCGGAGCGUGUGGUUUAAUUCGAUGCUACACGAAGAACCUUACCUGGGUCUGAAAAUGUAGGUGGUUAGUGAAUCGAAAGGUGAACGACCCUUCGGCGAGCAUACACAGGUGCUGCAUGGCUGUCGUCAGCUCGUGCCGUGAGGUGUCGGGUUAAGUCCCGUAACGAGCGCAACCCUUGCUCCUAGUUACAAGUGUCUAGGGGGACUGCCGCCGGAUAGCCGGAGGAAGGUGGGGAUGACGUCAAGUCAGCAUGGCCCUUAUAUCCAGGGCUAUACACACGCUACAAUGGUCGGUACAAAGGGCAGCGAAACCGCGAGGCGGAGCGAAUCCGAGAAAAGCCGAUCGUAGUUCGGAUAGCAGGCUGCAACCCGCCUGCUUGAAGCUG
rnacentral:rRNA from 1 species